AGAGUUUGAUCAUGGCUCAGAGCGAACGCUGGCGGCGUGCCUAACACAUGCAAGUCGAACGUGAACGGGAGCAAUCCUUAGUAAAGUGGGUCCGGGUGAGUAACGCGUAGGCAAUCUACCCCAGAGUCUGGAAUAACCUGCCGAAAGGCGGGCUAAUACUGGAUAGAGCGACGGAAUCCGUAAUUGGGUUUUUCGGGAAAGGGAGGUCGUAAGACCCCUUGCUCUGGGAUGGGCCUGCGUCCCAUCAGCUAGUUGGUAAGGUAAUGGCUUACCAAGGCUAUGACGGGUAGCUGGUCUGAGAGGAUGAUCAGCCACACUGGAACUGAAACACGGUCCAGACUCCUACGGGAGGCAGCGGUGGGGAAUCUUGCGCAAUGGGCGAAAGCCUGACGCAGCCACGCCGCGUGAGUGAAGAAGGCCUUCGGGUUGUAAAGCUCUGUCGCCCGGGACGAAAACUCUUGGAGUUAACAGCUCCAGGAAUUGACGGUACCGGGAGAGGAAGCACCGGCUAACUCUGUGCCAGCAGCCGCGGUAAUACAGAGGGUGCAACGUUGCUCGGAAUCAUUGGGCGUAAAGGGCAAGUAGGUGGUCUUAUUUGUCUCGUGUGAAAUCCUUGGGCUUAACUCAAGAAGUGCGCGAGAAACGGUGAGACUAGAGUUCUGGAGAGGGUCGUGGAAUUCCCGGUGUAGCGGUGAAAUGCGUAGAGAUCGGGAGGAACACCAGAGGCGAAGGCGGCGACCUGGACAGAUACUGACACUCAACUGCGAAAGCGUGGGGAGCAAACAGGAUUAGAUACCCUAGUAGUCC
rnacentral:rRNA from 1 species